AAUCAGUGUACAAAAUUUGGGUUGCGGUUUACCCGAUUUUUAUUUAUACAUGUGAUUUAUCAAACAGAUUUGAACAGUUUGGAAGUCUAUCAUUAGGUUUUGUAAGUGAUGCUUUAUUAUGUACUUAUAAAACUUUUGCUACAGUAGUCAUCGUAAAUGAAAUCAAAGCCAAUGUCAUAAAUAUACACGACUUCAGCAGCAGGAAGCAUUUCCAUACGAUAACACAAUUGACGAAUAUGUUGGUUUAGACCUUACUUGCAAUGGUUAUUCUAAAAAUACUCUCCAGUUUGCUGCAGCAGUCAUUGCUAAUUUUGACCAAUAUCGUGAAAAUUAUUUUCUACUUCAAGGAAGAUGCAUUUAGAUAAGAUAACAGUCAAGAAGGAAUCCAUUGGUAAUAUUGUGUGUAUUGUGUUGUAUUGUGCAUAUGGUAUGGUUUAUGUAAAAGUGUCA